UUCAGUGUUUUUCUCCUGUGUCAGGGUUUCAACUCUAUAUGAAUGGACACCUGAAACUGAACCAUAGGCAAUUACUUAACCAUUGUGGAUUGGAUACCAGAUACAAUGUGUCUGUGGUCAAUGGCACAAGUCUCUUUUCAAGUGACUAUGAUCUAACAAACAUCAUUGCAGCAUAUUGGGAUAGAUAUGUUGCAACAGUCUUUUCAGAUCCCAACCCUGUGUGGAUGGCUGGAAGAGCAAAAGAUACACCAUUUAUCAUUAAAGCCACUAUUCAUUACCUAGUGGAAGUUAUCUUGUAUCCUUUGAAAACUGCAUAUACUGUGACAUAACUGGGUUGCAUUAUUUAGGCUUUCACACAUAGGCCAAAUAAAAACUGUUUUCUUCUAGACUUGUUGCUGAACCUUUUCUUUCUUAGCUAAGCAAAUGCUAUAGUUCUGAAGCUAACUGAAUACCUACUUGCCCAUUCUUCUGGAUGGUUCUGCUUGUAUAACCAUUU